rnacentral:rRNA from 1 species
AGCAAACGCUGGCGGCAGGCCUAACACAUGCAAGUCGAACGAACCUUUCGGGGUUAGUGGCGGACGGGUGAGUAACACGUGGGAACGUGCCUUUAGGUUCGGAAUAACUCAGGGAAACUUGUGCUAAUACCGAAUGUGCCCUUCGGGGGAAAGAUUAAUCGCCUUUAGAGCGGCCCGCGUCUGAUUAGCUAGUGGGUUGAGGUAAUGGCUCACCAAGGCGACGAUCAGUAGCUGGUCUGAGAGGAUGAUCAGCCACAUUGGGACUGAGACACGGCCCAAACUCCUACGGGAAGCAGCAGUGGGGAAUCUUGCGCAAUGGGCGAAAGCCUGACGCAGCCAUGCCGCGUGAAUGAUGAAGGUCUUAGGAUUGUAAAAUUCUUUCACCGGGGACGAUAAUGACGGUACCCGGAGAAGAAGCCCGGGCUAACUUCGUG